rnacentral:misc_RNA from 1 species
UUUCCGUAGGUGAACCUGCGGAAGGAUCAUUAACGAGUUAGGGUCUCCCAGGCCCGACCUCCCCACCCUGUGUUUACUGGACCUCUGUUGCUUCGGCGGACCCGUCUCACGACCGCCGGAGGACCGCCGAGAGGCGUUUCUCUGGCCAGCGUCCGCCGGUAGCCAACCACACAAACCCUGAAUAAAUACCGUGACGUGUCUAAGUCUCUGAUCGGAUUAAAAAGUAAAACUUUCAACAACGGAUCUCUUGGUUCUGGUAUCGAUGAAGAACGCAGC